ACGUGGGUAACCUGCCUGUAAGACUGGGAUAACUCCGGGAAACCGGAGCUAAUACCGGAUAGUUCCUUGAACCGCAUGGUUCAAGGAUGAAAGACGGUUUCGGCUGUCACUUACAGAUGGACCCGCGGCGCAUUAGCUAGUUGGUGGGGUAAUGGCUCACCAAGGCGACGAUGCGUAGCCGACCUGAGAGGGUGAUCGGCCACACUGGGACUGAGACACGGCCCAGACUCCUACGGGAGGCAGCAGUAGGGAAUCUUCCGCAAUGGACGAAAGUCUGACGGAGCAACGCCGCGUGAGUGAUGAAGGUUUUCGGAUCGUAAAGCUCUGUUGUUAGGGAAGAACAAGUGCGAGAGUAACUGCUCGCACCUUGACGGUACCUAACCAGAAAGCCACGGCUAACUACGUGCCAGCAGCCGCGGUAAUACGUAGGUGGCAAGCGUUGUCCGGAAUUAUUGGGCGUAAAGGGCUCGCAGGCGGUUUCUUAAGUCUGAUGUGAAAGCCCCCGGCUCAACCGGGGAGGGUCAUUGGAAACUGGGAAACUUGAGUGCAGAAGAGGAGAGUGGAAUUCCACGUGUAGCGGUGAAAUGCGUAGAGAUGUGGAGGAACACCAGUGGCGAAGG
rnacentral:rRNA from 1 species